rnacentral:rRNA from 1 species
GACGAACGCUGGCGGCGUGCUUAACACAUGCAAGUCGAACGGAAAGGCCUCUUUCGGGGGGUACUCGAGUGGCGAACGGGUGAGUAACACGUGAGUAACCUGCCCUUGACUUUGGGAUAACUUCUGGAAACUGGGGCUAAUACCGGAUCGGAGCUUCUGCUGCCUGGUGGGGGCUGGCAUGUUUCGGCGGUUGGGGUUGGAUUCGCGGCUAUCAGCUUGAUGGUGGGGAAGUGGCCUACCAAGGCUUUGACGGGGAGCCGGCCUGAGAGGGUGACCGGGCACAGUGAGACUGGGAUAGAGCCCAGACUCCGACGGGAGGCAGAAGUGGCGAAGAUUACACAAGGGGUGGGAGCCUGAGGCAGCAACGCCGUGGGCGGGAGGACGGCCUAGGGGUUGGAAACCGAAUUCGCUCAUGACGAAGCUUUGUGUGACGGUAGUGGGUAAAGAAGCACCGGCUAACUACGUG